AUUUUUGUAAGUUUCGGAAUUUCUGCAAAAAUCUCUAGAAUCUUCGAACAUUCUGUCAACCCAAAAUAACAAGCAUCAUAGAAAAUUUUCAAACUAUCAUUCAAGCAUCCUUAGACAAAUUAGAGUAUUUAUAAGCAUCCAUAGCAAACCCAUUAUAUGUUUUCAUGCUCACAUAGUUUUACACACCAUAAGAGAUGAAGACAUAGUUCGACAUAUGUAAAACCUUACAAAUAUUCACUCCUCCUUUGGCAUCAAGCGCCAAAAAGGAAAUGAACUCCAGCACACUAACAAGAGCUACCCAUCGUCAUCGUAGUCGUCGUCCUCCUCCUCAUCAUCAUCCUCAUCCUCUUCCU
rnacentral:lncRNA from 1 species